rnacentral:rRNA from 1 species
UAGGGAAUAUUGGACAAUGGGGGCAACCCUGAUCCAGCCAUGCCGCGUGAGUGAAGAAGGCCCUCGGGUUGUAAAGCUCUUUUGUCCGGAAAGAAAAGCUUCGGGUUAAUACCCCGGGGUUCUGACGGUACCGGAAGAAUAAGCACCGGCUAACUUCGUGCCAGCAGCCGCGGUAAUACGAAGGGUGCAAGCGUUACUCGGAAUUACUGGGCGUAAAGCGUGCGUAGGUGGUUGUUUAAGUCUGAUGUGAAAGCCCUGGGCUCAACCUGGGAAUGGCAUUGGAAACUGGGCAGCUAGAGUGCGGUAGAGGGUAGUGGAAUUCCCGGUGUAGCAGUGAAAUGCGUAGAGAUCGGGAGGAACAUCUGUGGCGAAGGCGGCUGCCUGGACCAGCACUGACACUGAGGCACGAAAGCGUGGGGAGCAAACA